rnacentral:pre_miRNA from 1 species
CGCCUCUGCAGCUCCGGCUCCCCCUGGCCUCUCGGGAACUACAAGUCCCAGGGGGCCUGGCGGCGGGCGUCGGGCGGAAGAG